GUGCCAGCAGCCGCGGUAAUACCGGCAGCACGAGUGAUGGCCGAUAUUAUUGGGCCUAAAGCGUCCGUAGCUGGCCGAACAAGUCCGUUGGGAAAUCGACGCGCCCAACGCGUCGGCGUCCAGCGGAAACUGUUCGGCUUGGGGCCGGAGGACUCGAGGGGUACGUCCGGGGUAGGAGUGAAAUCCUGUAAUCCUGGACGGACCACCGGUGGCGAAAGCGCCUUCGGAAGACGGAUCCGACAGUGAGGGACGAAAGCUAGGGUCUCGAACCGGAUUAGAUACCCUGGUAGUCC
rnacentral:rRNA from 1 species